UUGGAGCUGGCGCUGGGAGAGCCGGCGGGGCUGGGCUCAGGGCCGGGCUCGGGGCCUGCAGGGCGGGCAGCGGGACGGCGCAGGCCCGGCUUGCCGAGCAAAGCGCCCGUACCGCUGAGCGAGCUGAAGCGCUCGCUCCCCCAGCUCGCCAGUGGUAGCGGCCGCCGGGCCUGCCUGGGCCGCACCAUUGGAGGGGCGGGGGGGGCGCGGCGCGUGGCGCCUCACGGCCCUUGUCCCUCAGGCCAUCAUGGAGGCGGCACCGGCACCGCGACCCCGCCGGCAGCGCCGGGACCCCGCCGGGGCCGCGGAAAACCCUCCCCGCAGAAAGGUGUCUUGAAGUAAAGAGGCUGGGCUUCCCACGUGGAUGUGACACAGCAGGACUGGGAACAGCUGGGGAGGUGGCCCUGAUGUGAAGGUAGAGCCUGCAGGCCUGUGCUGCCACGUGCUGGUGGCUGAUGUCCACCCACUGAUGGGACAGCUCUUCCCAGAGACAGCAGAGCAGGAGAAUCUGCUGGGUGAUGCUGCUGGAAACAUCUCUGAGGCAGAAGGACUCCAACAAAGCACCUGGGCGUGAGGAUUUUGUGUAGAUACAUUUUCUGCCUGUUACAGAGUGGUAACAGUGUUAACACACAGUUAAAGUGUUCAUUACAUGUACAUUAAAACCAUUUGUAAAAACCCA